GGGUUAGCUUAGUCGGUAGAGCAUGAGGCUCUUAAUCUCAGGGUCGUGGGUCUGGGCAAAAGAUUCCUGCAUUGCA